rnacentral:rRNA from 1 species
GGGGGGUGCAAGCGUUGUUCGGAAUUAUUGGGCGUGAAGCGCGUGUAGGCGGUCUGAUUAGUCUGAUGUGAAAGCCCUGGGCUCAACCCAGGAAGUGCAUUGGAUACUGUCAGACUUGAAUACGGGAGAGGGUAGUGGAAUUCCUAGUGUAGGAGUGAAAUCCGUAGAUAUUAGGAGGAACACCGGUGGCGAAGGCGGCUACCUGGACCGAUAUUGACGCUGAGACGCGAAAGCGUGGGUAGCAAACAGGAUUAGAUACCCUGGUAGUCCACGCCGUAAACGAUGAGUACUAGGUGUUGCGGGUAUUGACCCCUGCAGUGCCGCAGCUAACGCAUUAAGUACUCCGCCUGGGAAGUACGGUCGCAAGACUA